UCCCACUUCUCCCUCUCUCGCACGCCCGUGCAUCCCCCCUCACACGCCGGCGCGGCCACUGCCCGAUCCGCCUCCCCCGGCCGCCUCCCAGUCUGGUGACGAGCGCGCCGCACUAUUGCGGGAACGCCUCGCCCACCUUCCCUGUCAGGAAGCCACCUCCCCUCUCUCACCGCCGGCCACACGCACCUGCACGCGCGACGCCACGGCGUGGCCACGACGGCCGCCGGCCUGCUCCUGCCACUCCGAGGAGCGCCCUGCGUCCGCCACAUCACGCCACGUCAACCCAACCCCUCACCCCACGCCAGAGCCUCCCUCUUGCCCUCUGCACCUGCACCGCACCGGCGCACCCCGCAUAUGCCCGCCAUUAAUGGCCGGCGAGCUUAUCCGCUCGCCGCUAGCUCCGUCCGCCGGCACAAGCCCAUCUACGGGAAAUUCCCGGGGCUAUAAAUAGCCCCGCCACCCCACCUCUCCACCUCGCACCACCUGCUCUCCUCUCCUCGACGGCUUAGGAAACCGCCGCGCCUCCUCCACCCGCCGCCACGCUCUAUCCCCUAGAGCCGGGCCGGGUCGAAGUCGAGGAGCACUGCGUGGCGUUAGACACCCUCCCCCGUGAGGCCUUGGUCCUAGAGCGGCCGAACCUCGCUAUCCCAGCUCCGCCGCCGCUCAACCCCGUCGCCGAAGACGCCGUCGCCUCUGGUCCACGCGUCCACCAUCCCGGUCCACGCCACAGUAGACCCCGGCGCGUCCCACUGACCACGUUGACCCGUCCCCACUUGUCAGCCUCCCAUCCGUCCCAAAAUUGCUAGGUACCCCCCACUUAGUGCACACCAAAUGUUAUUCUACCCAUUCCUUUUAUCCAAAAAUUCCACCAAAAUUCCCCAAAAUAUUAGAUGAUCCCACAAGCCAUUUAGAACAAUCCAAACUCUUUUUACACAUCUCUAAGGUCUUAAAACCGAAUUCCCUAAACUCAAAGAAGCGAGCUGCAUCAUGUGAAUGUGCAGAUGCACCUGCACCAAAGCGGCUCAGGCCAUCCCAUCUGCCCACGGAGCUUAAGAUUGGUUAUUCUGGUUCAGCUGGUAAGCCUAACCGGCUGACAAACCUCUCCGAGUUUGGCUACUCUGGAUUUAUCAGGGUAGGGAAAAUCGCUUGCAAAACUGAAAUAAAGAUACCAGAGAUUCUAGGAUAUCUACUCCCUCCAGAGUGAUGUGUCAGAGUCGCGCCUGCCUACUAUGCCCACCUUGCUGCAUUCCGUGCUCGCUACUAUGUGGAAGGAGAAAGCUCGGGCGGUGGCUCGACCCCUGGCAGCAGCGGACAGGCAGCUCGUGAGGGUCCUGUGGAGGUGCGCCAACUUCCGAAGAUCAAGGACAACGUCAAGGACGUUAUGUUCUACUGCUGAACUGCUCCAAGUUUGGUUAAUGAUGGGGUGUUCUCUUUUUUGGUCGGGAUGCCAAGAUGUUGGUGAGAAGUGGUUGAUGGUGGUAGUUUUCUUAUGAUGGACUUGUCCUGAUUUUGGUCCUGGUUACCGUACUGUCAUCUUGGUAUUCGAAGUAGCUAGGUUAUAACUGAGCUUGUUGGUUUUCAAGGCCUGAAACUCUGGAUGGAACCAAUGCAAGUACUCUUUAAGUUUUAUGUUCUCGAUGGCUGCUGUUUGCCCAUCUGCCUUGCUGCUCGGUUUGCUUAACAUGUUGUGUUUCUGGAGAAAAUGAGAUUUAUUUGAA